CACAUCAACCUUAAACUAUCAAUGAUUACCAACUAGCUACACCAAAUAGAUUCAAAGUGUAACUAUGGAAUCCUAUAUUUAUCAAAUAACAAGAAUAUUAUAAAACAAUUAUCUUUAAUACAAUAACAAUGUUGUAAAACAAUCCUCUUUAAUGCAAUAACAAUAUUAUAAAACAAUCCUCUUUAAUACAAUAACAAUAACAAAUCCUUCAAACCAAUGCAGGACUUAAAAAACAGAGACACAAAAGCUCCACGAGCGUUGCAAACAUGA
rnacentral:lncRNA from 1 species